rnacentral:tRNA from 1 species
UUAACUAAAGCCAAACCUAGAGGCAUUCCAUUGUUAAUGGACGAAUUGGAAUAACCUUCCUAAUUAAA